GAUGAACGCUGGCGGCGUGCCUAAUACAUGCAAGUCGAGCGAACAGAUAAGGAGCUUGCUCCUUUGACGUUAGCGGCGGACGGGUGAGUAACACGUGUAUAACCUACCUAUAAGACUGGGAUAACUUCGGGAAACCGGAGCUAAUACCGGAUAACAUAUUGAACCGCAUGGUUCAAUAGUGAAAGGCGGCUUUGCUGUCACUUAUAGAUGGAUCCGCGCCGUAUUAGCUAGUUGGUAAGGUAACGGCUUACCAAGGCAACGAUACGUAGCCGACCUGAGAGGGUGGUCGGCCACACGGGAAGUGAGACACGGUCCAGACUCCUACGGGAGGCAGCAGUCGGGAAUCUUACGCAAUGGGCGAAAGCCUGACGGAGCAACGCCGCGUGAGUGAUGAAGGUCUUCGGAUCGUAAAACUCUGUUAUCAGGGAAGAACAAAUGUGUAAGUAACUGUGCACAUCGUGACGGUACCUGAUCAGAAAGCCACGGCUAACUACGUG
rnacentral:rRNA from 1 species